UCCUCUGUAGUUCAGUCGGUAGAACGGCGGACUGUUAAUCCGUAUGUCACUGGUUCGAGUCCAUCACACGAU
rnacentral:tRNA from 1 species